UACAGAGGGGGCAAGCGUUGUUCGGAAUUACUGGGCGUAAAGGGCGCGUAGGCGGCCCUCUAAGUCGGACGUGAAAUCCCCGGGCUCAACCCGGGAACUGCGUCCGAUACUGGAGGGCUUGAAUCCGGGAGAGGGAUGCGGAAUUCCAGGUGUAGCGGUGAAAUGCGUAGAUAUCUGGAGGAAUACCGGUGGCGAAGGCGGCAUCCUGGACCGACAUUGACGCUGAUGAGCGAAAGCUAGGGGAGCAAACGGG
rnacentral:rRNA from 1 species